AUUGAACGCUGGCGGCAUGCCUUACACAUGCAAGUCGAACGGCAGCAUGAUCUAGCUUGCUAGAUUGAUGGCGAGUGGCGAACGGGUGAGUAAUACAUCGGAACGUGCCCUGUAGUGGGGGAUAACUAGUCGAAAGAUUAGCUAAUACCGCAUACGACCUGAGGGUGAAAGUGGGGGACCGCAAGGCCUCAUGCUAUAGGAGCGGCCGAUGUCUGAUUAGCUAGUUGGUGAGGUAAAGGCUCACCAAGGCGACGAUCAGUAGCUGGUCUGAGAGGACGAUCAGCCACACUGGGACUGAGACACGGCCCAGACUCCUACGGGAGGCAGCAGUGGGGAAUUUUGGACAAUGGGGGCAACCCUGAUCCAGCAAUGCCGCGUGUGUGAAGAAGGCCUUCGGGUUGUAAAGCACUUUUGUCCGGAAAGAAAUCGCACUUACUAAUAU
rnacentral:rRNA from 1 species